CCAUCAUUAAGUUGGGCACUCUAAGUUGACUGCCGGUGACAAACCGGAGGAAGGUGGGGAUGACGUCAAAUCAUCAUGCCCCUUAUGAUUUGGGCUACACACGUGCUACAAUGGACAAUACAAAGGGUAGCGAAACCGCGAGGUCAAGCAAAUCCCAUAAAGUUGUUCUCAGUUCGGAUUGUAGUCUGCAACUCGACUAUAUGAAGCUGGAAUCGCUAGUAAUCGUAGAUCAGCAUGCUACGGUGAAUACGUUCCCGGGUCUUGUACACACCGCCCGUCACACCACGAGAGUUUGUAACACCCGAAGCCGGUGGAGUAACCAUUUGGAGCUAGCCGUCGAAGGUGGGACAAAUGAUUGGGGUGAAGUCGUAACAAGGUAGCCGUAUCGGAAGGUGCGGCUGGAUCACCUCCUUU
rnacentral:rRNA from 1 species